AUUGAACGAUUUAUUACAAUUAAAGUUGAUUGAAGGAUCAAUUUUAGCCGAGACUCUGAAGAGCACCUCUUCUUCUAAUAUACAAUAACUAUUUUUCGAAAACCCAACAAAUCCAGCAUCAGCGUGUGGAAGGGAAACAUUUAAUAUUUCAGGAAUAUGACUGUUUAUCCCACCGUCUUGUUUAAAAUGAUUCUUCCAUCAAUAACCACCAAAUAGCUCAUUCAGCUCGUGCUAUUUGGGGAUUCAAUGCUUCUCGUGCUGCAUUAAAGGCUUUAACUGUCUGCCGACUGCCAGAAGAGAAUAAAGCAAAAUUCCAGAAAUGCUGGAAAUCCGGAAUAGAAGCAGAAAACGCUGGUGAUAAGCUUUAGGGUCACUUCGUGUUGGUGACCUUUCAAAAAGUUAAAAAUGCAACAAUCAUCUCAUACUAAACAAUUGAGAGGAGGUAGGAAGGUGCAAAAAGAAAAGACUCUAAUUGUGUGGCAGACAACAGAGAUUAAAUGACAAAAGAGUUGGUGGUGUUAACCAAAUUUCAUCAUGGGAAAGGAAAGAACAAUGGACGGGUCCACUCAAAAGCAAAUCCAUUGGACAUGCCAUUCCUCUGCUUGACACCACUCACUUGAAGCAACAAAAACAUGGAUGUUGGAAAUAAAAAAAAAAGCACUGGAGAACCUCAGAAGAUCUAGCAAAAUUUGUGGAGCGAGAAAUAUGAUAAACAUUUUAAGUCCAUGAUACCUUUUCAACUGUUCUGGGGAAGAGUCAUAUCGGACUGGAAACAUUAACGCUUUCUCUCUCUCUCUGUUGAUGUUACCAGACCUGCUGAGGUUGUCCAGCAUUUUGCUUUUUUUCCGAAACCAACUGCUGUACUUGGUGCUCAGUUGCAGAAGGACUGUGGAAAUCUUUUCGGCUAUCUUCAAAUCAUCCCUAAAAAAGGCAAACAUAUGCAUCAACUCAUAGGAGACCCUGCAUUGUGACUGGCCAAAAGUAGUUCGCUUAUUUGUGAAACCAUCAUCAAAAGGAUGCAAAUGUGAAGUAAAGAAGUCAGAGAGAGUGUGCACAAACAUCUAAACUUCCUAUCUAUUUAAACAUUCAAACAUUGUCUGCCUGGCAUGUGAAGGAGACUGCACAUUGCACAUGGGACCUAUCAGCCAGCUCAGAAUCUGCUGAACCAGAAUGGAAACAAUUAUGAAGGACUGCCUAAGAGGUUCAGAAAAGGAUAUUAUUCCUUCUGAACCUGGUAAUUGGCCCAUUAUCGUAUCUGGAGGAACCCCAAUUACCCCGAAAUGUCCUUUGCAGUUGAACAUUUCCCAGACUAUCACAGAGCACGAUCUCCGGGACGAGCCAAGAGAGGCUUACAGAUCGAGUCCAUCAGGGAUUCCCUGAGCCACCUUGAAUAGGGGAAGACACCAGCAGCCUACCAGAACUCCAAGAGAGUCGGGGGUAAAGGUGAGUGUCGUGGUCAUCACUAAAGAGGAGGUGCUGAGGAAGUUGAAUUGUCCAAAAGUGUGUCAAUCACCCAGACCGGAUAGAUUACACUCCAGAGUUCUGAAGAGAUAGCUGAGAAGAUUGUA